UUUAAAUAUAUUUUCUAUUUCAAUUUUAAUUUUAUAUUUUCGAAUUUCAAUUUAAAAAAAUAAAUUUAUAUAUUUUUUUUUAAUUUUGGAAAUAUUCCGAGGAAGUGUAUCCCUCGGGAUAUUCCGACGACAUCUUCCUCGGAAUAUUCCGAGGAAAUUCCGACGAACAUGUGGUCCUCGGAAUUUCCUCGGAAAUUCGUUUCUUCGGAAUUCCGUCGGAAAUUUCCGAGGAAUUUCUGAGGAAAAAUGAAAUUCCGAAGAGUUAUUUCCGAAGACUUUUUUCGUCGGUAUGUCGUCGGAAUAGCGUUAUUCCGACGACAUACCGACGAUAUUUUCCCUCAGUAUGUCGCUGUUUUCUUGUAGUGUCUUUAUUUAAAUGAUAUUAAGAUAUAUAUAUGUAUAUAUAUCAUAUGAAUAA